GAUGAACGCUGGCGGCGUGCCUAAUACAUGCAAGUCGAGCGAACGGACGAGGAGCUUGCUCCUCUGACGUUAGCGGCGGACGGGUGAGUAACACGUGGAUAACCUACCUAUAAGACUGGGAUAACUUCGGGAAACCGGAGCUAAUACCGGAUAACAUGUUGAACCGCAUGGUUCAACAGUGAAAGACGGUUUUGCUGUCACUUAUAGAUGGAUCCGCGCCGCAUUAGCUAGUUGGUAAGGUAACGGCUUACCAAGGCAACGAUGCGUAGCCGACCUGAGAGGGUGAUCGGCCACACUGGAACUGAGACACGGUCCAGACUCCUACGGGAGGCAGCAGUAGGGAAUCUUCCGCAAUGGGCGAAAGCCUGACGGAGCAACGCCGCGUGAGUGAAGAAGGUCUUCGGAUCGUAAAACUCUGUUAUUAGGGAAGAACAAAUGUGUAAGUAACUAUGCACGUCUUGACGGUACCUAAUCAGAAAGCCACGGCUAACUACGUG
rnacentral:rRNA from 1 species